ACGGUACCUGCAAAAGAAGCACCGGCCAACUACGUGCCAGCAGCCGCGGUAAUACGUAGGGUGCGAGCGUUGUCCGGAAUUAUUGGGCGUAAAGGGCUCGUAGGCGGUUUGUCACGUCGGGAGUGAAAACUCGGGGCUCAACCCCGAGCCUGCUUCCGAUACGGGCUAACUAGAGGUAUGCAGGGGAGAACGGAAUUCCUGGUGUAGCGGUGAAAUGCGCAGAUAUCAGGAGGAACACCGGUGGCGAAGGCGGUUCUCUGGGCAUUACCUGACGCUGAGGAGCGAAAGUGUGGGGAGCGAACAGGAUUAGAUACCCUGGUAGUCCACACCGUAAACGUUGGGCGCUAGGUGUGGGACUCAUUCCACGAGUUCCGUGCCGCAGCUAACGCAUUAAGCGCCCCGCCUGGGGAGUACGGCCGCAAGGCUAAAACUCAAAGGAAUUGACGGGGGCCCGCACAAGCGGCGGAGCAUGCGGAUUAAUUCGAUGCAACGCGAAGAACCUUACCUAGGUUUGACAUAUAGGGAAAACUCCUGGAGACAGGAGGUCCGUAAGGGC
rnacentral:rRNA from 1 species